AACGAACGCUGGCGGCAGGCCUAACACAUGCAAGUCGAGCGAAGCCUUCGGGCUUAGCGGCGGACGGGUGAGUAACGCGUGGGAACGUGCCCUUUGGUACGGAAUAGCCCCGGGAAACUGGGAGUAAUACCGUAUGUGGUCGAGAGACGAAAGAUUUAUCGCCAAAGGAUCGGCCCGCGUUGGAUUAGGUAGUUGAUGGGGUAAUGGCCUACCAAGCCGACGAUCCAUAGCUGGUUUGAGAGGAUGAUCAACCACACUGGGACUGAGACACGGCCCAGACUCCUACGGGAGGCAGCAGGGGGGAAUCUUAGACAAUGGGGGAAACCCUGAUCUAGCCAUGCCGCGUGAUCGAUGAAGGCCUUAGGGUUGUAAAGAUCUUUCAGUGGGGAAGAUAAUGACUGUACCCACAGAAGAAGCCCCGGCUAACUCCGUGCCAGCCGCCGCAGUAACAC
rnacentral:rRNA from 1 species